rnacentral:sRNA from 1 species
UCCACUAGUUCCUUGUUUAAAGCCCUUAAAAAGCCUACAAGAGCCGGGCCAGACUUGUUAGGACUCCACACUGCUGAUGGCUAAUCUCACAAACAUUGUGUCUUGCAACUCCAGAGGCACGGGUUGGGAGGGCUAGGGGUGGGGAAGACCUGCCCUCACCCUGGCUUCCCUGCCUUGGGGUCCCCGCCUCCUCCCCAGGGUUCUGCACGGCAAAAGGGGGCCUGGUGAGCUCCAUCUUGCACCCCCGGCCCAUCAACUUCAAGUUCUAUAAACACAGCAUGAAGUUUGUGGCUGCCCUCUCUGUCCUGGGUGAGUGGCCCCCUGCACCCUCCUCUGCCCAUAGCCCCCCCGCCUGGGUCCCAAAUCCCACUCAGUCCUUUGCUGUCCCCCCCAGCUCUCCUCGGCACCAUCUACAGCAUCUUCAUCCUCUACCGAAACCGGGUGCCUCUGAACGAGAUUGUGAUCCGGGCUCUGGACCUGGUGACUGUGGUGGUGCCACCUGCCCUGCCUGCCGCCAUGACUGUGUGCACGCUCUACGCCCAGAGCCGACUGCGGAGACAGGGCAUUUUCUG